ACUCAGCCUUUGCAUUGCGGUGGGCAGCCGCCCUCGGCUGGGGUGCUGCCUGGGAGCUUCCAGCUUGGGUGGUGGGUUUGCAUGUCGAAGCAGAGCCCUGCACACUGAGCUGUGCUCCAUGAGAGGAAACAGCUUGCGGGAAAGGUAGGAACUGGAGAAAUAAGUGAUGCCUCGAAAAAGCUGCCGCAGGAGGAGACAAGCUGAGGAGGGAAGUUCCUGAGAUGGAACUGCACCAAACCGCAGGAGCUGCUGUGCAGACGGGCGGUGGGGCACGGUGCUGUCAGGGGUGCUGCUCCUGGGGGCACUCAGGGUUUGGGAGGCACCAGCCGUGCCUUCAUCUCUCACAGCUUGGCCCUCACUUUUAUUUAAAAGCACGUCUGGGUGUUGCACCCUGUUAAGCUGUGUAUCUGGGAGAUUGUCAGCCAGAAGCUGGAGCUUAUCCCUGUGCCAGAGCCAUCUCUCUGCUCUUCAUGGCACAGAGCUCCCAUCUCUGUUCACACUUCUCAUUAUACACAAUUUGCCUUAGUUUCAUUGCUCAGGUAGCCAUAAACUCCAGAGCUUCACACGGCUCCCCACUUUGUUCCUAGCCAGCAGCCAGCCCCGUGCCAGUCACUUCGCAAUGCUCUGAGCCAUCGCACAGGGCAAGGCGGUGGAAAGCCCAGCGUGCUCGGACACCGCCAGCUCCUCCUCGCUGCAAGCUGGAUGGUGGGCAAGCGCUUGCUGCACAGUUCAUAGCCAGAGGAGGCAUGGGAUGAAGGCAAGGCUGGGAAACCUCUGCCCUUGGAAGCAGGGAUGCGGAUUCUCGUGGAGCAGCAGCUGAUGGCCAGCACGCCCAGCAGCUCUGGCCAGUGGCUGGUGGCUGUCUGACGGGGGGACACCGCAGAGAAAAGCAGAAGAAAGGUGGUUGAGUUAGUCCUGUAUCUGGAUUCAGGUUCACAGCCAUAGACUUUGCAACUGAUAAAGAUUAAGAUCUAAAUUUUGGCAUUUCUCAUGCAUUCCGUAGCCAGAACACAGCCUGUGCCCGCUCUCCGUAAGAGCGGUAGGAAUGCUGAUGUGCCAGCUGUGUGGUUUUAUGUCAGUUCCAGAGAAGUAGAUUAAUUUCCAUGGAACCAGCCGACCGCCUUGGCACCCACUGUGUUGUGAUGGGGAUGAAAGACAUUUUCUGCCUUACGUCGCCUUGCUGUCAGCGGUUUUAACCUCGCUCACACGUCCGUUACUGCUUGAUUUAUCUUCACUGACAUUCAGACUCUGACCCUACUGAGACUAUUAUCAGACCGUCUCUGGAUUUCAGUGGCCAAGUGCUCCAAAGUGGGGGCCCCCAGCAAGGGCUUCCCCUGCCUAACACAAAAUAAAGACCAGCCUCUGCUGAACUAAUUCAUCCCACUUCAAUCCCUCUCUUCAAGAGGUCCCUUUGCCCUCCUGGAACCACCUGGGUCAUUAGAAAUUGGCUUUUGAAUGUACUGGAAAUGUAGACUUUGUAUUCCCACAGGCACAUGGGGGUAUGGUGGAAUGCAUGUGUGCACUCUAUUUUAAUAAUCUAGCCUUUUGGGGUUGUCAGAUUUUUUGCAGGAGGUUUGAAACAGGGACCAGUUAUCUCACACCAGGCACUGGGUCCUCAUUUAACUAACUGUGCAACUUGGUGUAGACUUCUUAUCCUACAAUACGGGACUAAAUUAGACUAGACUAUAGCCAGGUAUUAUUUAUAAAGCAUUUGGUAAGUAACAUCUGCUGCACUGAAGAUUAAAUUAAGGAUGUUAAAGAAGAGUUUAGAGAAAACAGGUUUUGAGGAGGAAAAAAAUCUUUGUCGAUACUUAUUUUCAUUUGGAUUUCAAAUUUAAAUUUCCUCAAAGAUGUUGGCAGGGUUAAUUUCUCCUUUGUCCAUGCAAUAUAUUUGUUCAUAUAUGCCAUUAUAAAGCUCCUUUCAAGCUGACUAUUAUACUGGAAUACAGCAAAACCCAAAUUUAAGAUAUGAAACUGGAGGAGACUGUAUUUCAUACUGCAUAAAAUGCACUUCUGGAAUUUUCUGUUCUUCUUUUCUGCAGUAUUGCAAAUGCCUUUAUAAAGUAUCAUGACUGAUGAGCUAAAAAAAAAAAAAAAAAAAAAAAAAAAAGGGGGGAAAAAAUAACACCAAACCUGUGGCUUUGGACAUAUUCACUUCAAGUUUGUGGUUGACAUUUCCCAGGCUGCUUAGAGGUGAGCGUAAGUUCAGUCAUCGCACUGCUGCUGCUUCACCAGUCUCUGCUGCUGUUUCUAAAUGACUCCGAUAAAAUACUGUGAAAAGUGGAUCUGUGGUAAAUUGCAUCAUCCUCGUUAUGUGUUUUAAGAUGGUGACACACCACAGAACCUGUGUGCCUGGGUGACGGCCAGCCUCCCUGCACUCCUCCACCCCCGCAGCAGCCACCGGGCAGCCCAGGGUGGGUGCAAGCCCCCUGCGUUCCGCUGUGCUGUAACCGCACAGCCCUGCCGCUCCAGCCAUGCUGGUCUCCUUUGCCGUGGAAAUUCUGCAUUAGCUAGUGGUCAUGGAGACAGCAGCUUUCUCUGAUGGAAGGUAAAGGGCUGCUCUGGGUGGAAGUCCCCAGCCACCGCAUGUGCUCCCCAGCAGCUGCAAGUGUCCAGGUGCUCUGGACCCAGGAAUCCUGGAGCAGCACUUCACUUUCUAACUGGCUCUCACUGUCCUGAACUGGGCAACCGCUCGUUAAACCCCUUUCCUUCCAAAAUACAAAGAGCUUUCUCCUCCUUAAUCUUUGAGAGGUUUUACUUUAACCUCAUUAAACUUCAUCGCCAAAACCCAAAGCAGAUUGAGCAAAGCAGCUGAUGGGUGUGAAUGAGAGUUACAAGCUGACACUGAAGAAAUGCAAUAAAACAGCCUUUCCAUACGCAUCUUUAAACAACGUACAUCGCCAUCAGUUCCAAUAGGAAGAAGUGGGGAGUCCCUGUUUGGCAGAAUUCUUAGAAGUUAAACCAAGCCGAGCCUCUGGGUACAGGCCAGGCUGUUGUCUGCUGGCUCACUGCACGCGUUUUGUUGUUGUGGUGCUGGGAGAUAUUUAUGUGGUUUAUUUGUAUAUAAAUAUAAGAAAGCAGAAACAUAAACCCUCCUGUGUACUUGGCUAUUCUAAAAUAAACCCACGAGACUACUUAUUUUAAGGGAAGUAAUGCAAAUGCUAUGACCAUAGCGAGUGCCAGUGUCCCUGCUCACAGCCUGUCCCUGUGGGUACGAGUCGGGGGUUGCGUUAUUCUGGGGGUGUCCUGUGAUUCCCCAUGUGCAAACCUGAUACACACCCAUAUCCCAAAGCAACUCCUGGUGCUGUAGGUGUAUGUUAGGUGCUUCAGCCCAGGAGCUGCGUUGCUGGGCAGGGGUUCAGGGCUAAUUUGCACUGGCUCUUCUGUAAUGCAUCCUGGCACCUGCCUGCGUUUGGGCACCAGACUGCAGCAUGUCUCCUGGACCCACAGUGCUCUUUGCACCUUGCUUCUAUCAUUACACGUUCAUUUAGUAAACCAAAAUAGUCCUUAGUACUAAGGACAAGCAGCAGAUCCUUUUGGUUUUAGUGUUUUCUCCCCUGGGUAGAAAACUAGCCAAGCCUGCUAGCAGUAAGCCAGACUUUGCAGCUGAGAGAUUCCCUAGUGCAGUCUUUGCGCAAGAGGGAAAACAAUGUCUUGAAUAAGAAGUUCCCCGUGAAUCAGUCCCCAUGUGGUGGUGUCUCUCCAUUGGUACCCUGAUACCCUUGGCAAUGGAGCCUGGCUCACACCUCUCGCUUUGCCACCUGCUGUAAAGCAGGAGGGAUCAUGCGUGAAAGGGGGUGCCUGGAUGUGAAACCAGCUGAGAAAUAUCCCGGCCACUUCUCUUUUCCCACCAGCAGAUAUUGCUUCAGUUCCCAUUUCCCAAUACUGCCUCGUUCAUCGCCUUCAGGCCAUUUUCACCAGCUGCUUGCCAAGGAUUUCUGAACCUUAGACCAAGACAUACUUGAGCUAUUUUAAAUUAAAUCUUUGAUAUUCCUUUUG